rnacentral:rRNA from 1 species
UACGUAGGGUGCAAGCGUUAACCGGAAUUACUGGGCGUAAAGCGUGCGCAGGCGGUUAUGCAAGUAAGAUGUGAAAUCCCCGGGCUCAACCUGGGAACUGCAUUUGUGACUGCAUGGCUAGAGUACGGUAGAGGGGGAUGGAAUUCCGCGUGUAGCAGUGAAAUGCGUAGAUAUGCGGAGGAACACCGAUGGCGAAGGCGAUCCCCUGGACCUGUACUGACGCUCAUGCGCGAAAGCGUGGGGAGCAAACAGG